UAAUGCUAUAUAUUCGAUACCAGUAUUUUUUUAUCGAUACAAGUAAAGUAUUGAUAGAUACAAAAAGUACUUGUAUCGAAAGAAAUGUAUCGAUACUUUUUUAAUAUCAGUAGUAUCGCAACAUCCAUAAUCACGAGGGUUCUUCUGUAAAUUGUUGUCUUUUCGUGAACACUGAUAGUAUGUUUAUGUUGCUGUGAUGUUUCAAACACCGUUUUAAUUUGUUUCCUUGUCAAUCAAUCUUGUUGUCCAACAAUGUUUCAUAGCGGCCCUUCUAUAGGUCAGUGACUAAGUGUACCUUUUGGCCAAAAGAAGAGGAACAAUGCCGAAACGUCACACAUGGUAUGGCAGAACUUGCAUCUUAUUCCUUCUACACCCGAUUAUUACAUAUUUUAUUUACUUAAACUACUAAAAUGUCAAAUCUUCAACAUAGUGGCAACUUGAGAAAUGCUCCUGCGAAGAGUGUCCUUGAUGUGGUGAUAAAGAUAUUGGCAAAUAGUGGUGUAUCAAGUCGACUGAGUGAUCCAGUAAUAGCUAAAAAUUUCUCAUUAUAGAUUGAUAUUAAUGGUAUUAAAUAUGACAUUAAAGAAUUUUCCAGGUC